rnacentral:rRNA from 1 species
UAAGGAAUAUUGGGCAAUGGACGCAAGUCUGACCCAGCCAUGCCGCGUGAAGGAAGACGGCCCUAUGGGUUGUAAACUUCUUUUCUCAGGGGGUAAACUCCGGAACGUGUUCCGGACUGAAAGUACCUGAGGAAUAAGCAUCGGCUAACUCCGUGCCAGCAGCCGCGGUAAUACGGAGGAUGCGAGCGUUAUCCGGAUUCAUUGGGUUUAAAGGGUGCGCAGGCGGAUAUAUAAGUCGGAGGUGAAAUUCUGAUGCUCAACAUCAGCCGUGCCUUCGAUACUGUAUAUCUAGAGUCAAGUUGGAGUAGGCGGAAUGUGUUGUGUAGCGGUGAAAUGCUUAGAUAUAACACAGAACACCGAUCGCGAAGGCAGCUUACUAAACUUUGACUGACGCUCAUGC